UACAGAGGUGGACAGCGUUGUCCGGAUUUACUGGGCGUAAAGAGCGCGCAGGCGGUCGUUCAAGUCGAGUGUGAAAGCCCCCGGCUCAACUGGGGAGGGUCAUUCGAUACUGAUCGACUCGAAGGCAGGAGAGGGUAGUGGAAUUCCCGGUGUAGUGGUGAAAUGCGUAGAUAUCGGGAGGAACACCAGUGGCGAAGGCGACUACCUGGCCUGUUCUUGACGCUGAGGCGCGAAAGCUAGGGGAGCAAACGGG
rnacentral:rRNA from 1 species